rnacentral:lncRNA from 1 species
ACAACCCCUUGUCCUCAUCCUUCAGCUGGUUUAAAGUAGAUGGUGACAGUUGAGACCGACCCAUUAUCUUUGACAGCCCGACUGAACUGAACACAACCCUCGUCAAUCAGCUUUUGAAUACCAGCCCUCAACUGGUCACAACCGUUAUCAGCUUCAACACAACCCAAACAACCCUUAUCACAACCCGGGUAAACACCACCACCCAACAAACGGCCCUUCACAGUCAACAAAGGAGUCUGAAUCUCCUCCACUCUGAC